rnacentral:rRNA from 1 species
AGUGAACGCUGGCGGUAGGCCUAACACAUGCAAGUCGAACGGCAGCACAGUAAGAGCUUGCUCUUACGGGUGGCGAGUGGCGGACGGGUGAGGAAUACAUCGGAAUCUACUUUUUCGUGGGGGAUAACGUAGGGAAACUUACGCUAAUACCGCAUACGACCUACGGGUGAAAGCAGGGGAUCCUCGGACCUUGCGCGAUUGAAUGAGCCGAUGUCGGAUUAGCUAGUUGGCGGGGUAAAGGCCCACCAAGGCGACGAUCCGUAGCUGGUCUGAGAGGAUGAUCAGCCACACUGGAACUGAGACACGGUCCAGACUCCUACGGGAGGCAGCAGUGGGGAAUAUUGGACAAUGGGCGCAAGCCUGAUCCAGCCAUACCGCGUGGGUGAAGAAGGCCUUCGGGUUGUAAAGCCCUUUUGUUGGGAAAGAAAAGCAGCAGGUUAAUACCCCGCUGUUCGGACGGUACCCAAAGAAUAAGCACCGGCUAACUUCG